rnacentral:rRNA from 1 species
CCCUUAGAUGUUCUGGGCAGCACGCGCGCUACAAUGGUCUUCGCAAACGGAUGCAUUCUCGAAGGAGAAUGCUAAUCUUGGAAUCUAUGCCUUGGUCGGGACAGUUGCUUGCAAUUUUUCGACUCGAACCAGGAAUUCCUUGUAAUCGUGAUUCAUCACAUCACGAUGAAUACGUCCCUGCCCUUUGUACACACCGCCCGUCGCUCCUACCGAUCGAAGAGUUAGGUGAAUUGUUUUGAUCGAUAAGAUUUGACUAUGGUCAACUCUCGUUGUGAAAUCCUGUGAAUCUGACUGUUUAGAGGAAGGAAAAGUCGUAACA